GCCCGGAUGGUCUAGUGGUAUGAUUCGCGCUUAGGGUGCGUGAGGUCCCCGGUUCGAUCCCGGGUUCGGGCC
rnacentral:tRNA from 1 species